UCAUUCCUACUAUAAGGUCACCUCCCUGCAGCCUUGCUGAGGAGACAAUGCCUGGCCUGAUUUUCACUGAUGUUCAGCUAUACCAUAAACUUUUUUUGUUCACACUGGAGCUGAGAGACCCACUGUUCCUACCAAACACCACUGAGAAGGUCCUGAAGGCAGCAUUUACGAAUAGAAAAGCCAGUGAUGAGGCUUGGAAAUCGUGAUACCAAAAUCCUGCCAGCACGUGGCUCUCUGCUGAUACAGAAUUAACAACUGAAAAUACAGAGAUAUGCCUUAAUAGCAGUGUGAAGAAAGACCACCCCAAUAGGACACAGAAAUGACUAAUAAAACUAUAAAGAUGUAUUCUGUCUUAGGAGACAUGGAAAAGAAAAUCCAAACUUUACUCACAUAAGGACGGCAAAGUAGAUAUGACAGAAAAUAAUAAGCGUUGGCAAGAGUGCAUGUACCUGGUGCUGCUGGGGGCAUUGUAAAUCGACACAACUGCUCUGGGAACCUAUUUAGCAGUAUCUACUAGAAGACUACUUUUCCAUACAAUACUGUGUACCAAUCCUACUUCUAGGAACAGACUAGACAAUAUGCUGACAUUUGGUCACUCGUGACUUGCAUGAACAUGUUCUUAUAUGGAACAAAAAUAUUUGUGGCAGCAUUAUUUAUAACAGCUCCAAACUCGGAAGCAAUGUAGACACAGAUCAACAGUAACAUGAGGAAGGAAACCAUAGUACACUCUCAGAGCAGAAUAUUAUAUGGCAAGGGACAGGAACACUGAAAGGUUAUAUUCAACAAUGCACACACUCAAUUUGACAAAACUAGAAGCACCUGAGAAACAUCUUAAUUGAGGAACUAUCUAAAUCACAAUGGCCACUGGGCAUCCCUGUGGGGGGGGACUUAUUUGAUUGCUAAGUGAUGUAGGAAGACUCAGCCUGUUGUGGGUGGCAUUAUUUCAUGGGCUGAGACAUGAACUGUGUAAGGAUGAAGAAAGCUAGCAGCCUGUGAGUAACCUAGCAAGCAGACAUGAAGGGCAUACUUGGC
rnacentral:lncRNA from 1 species